CUCUUGUGUUUCUGUUCCUGUGGCGUGCAGCUGAAAUGACCGCCACUGCUCCUUCACAGUAUAUUUACAUGGGCUUCCUGUGGACAUCAGCGCCAUUUAAAAUUAAGGGCCUCAUUCUAUCAUCCAGGCUGGACUGCAGUGGCGUGAUCUCAGCUCACUGCAACUUCUGCCUCCCGAGCUCAAGUGAUCCUUCCAUCUCAGCCUCCCCAGUACCCGAGACUACAGGCACACACCACCACGCCUGGCUAAUUUUUGUAUUUUUUGUAGAGAUGGGGUUGCAUCAUGUUGCCCAGGCUGGUCUUGAACUCCUAAGCUCAAGCAGUCUGCCCUGCCUUGGCCUCCCAAAGUGCUGGGAUUACAGGCGUGAGCCACUGUGCCCAGCCAAAGUUAUAAGUGGAUUUUUGACUGCACGGGGGUUUGGCAUCCGUAUUGUUUAGGAGUCAACUGUAUAUUCUUACCUUGCCCAUGUCUGAAUAGGAAAAAGGAAGGGAGGUUAAUUGAUUGCUUGUGUUAGAUGAAAUACGCGUGAAUCCUUUAUGAGAUUUAUAAGAACAUCAACAAACAGUAACUUGGGCAAAGAAUUCCAAAGACAUUUCUUUAGUCCUCUUUCAAUAAGCACAUUUUCUGACAUUAGGUAGUAAUAAAAGACAGUGCUCAUAUCGGGGCUUAUUACAUGCUUUUGGAAUUGAAGGAUUUUGUUAUUUAAAUUUAGACUGUGCUUCUCUUUUAUGAGUAACUGUAUAUAUUGCUUUACCCCAAAUCCACUCAAAUCCUCCGAGCAGCAGUCCUUCGGGUCUGAGUGCCACCUUCACGAGACAUCCCGCACACAGGUGCCGCCAGCAGUGUGGCUGACCCUGCUAGCUCUCCACCCAAGGUCCACUCUCCACUUCAACCUUAUUAACAGAAACUUGAUUGCUUCCAAAUGGCAAUCAGCUCAGCCAAAGAUCUACAUUUCCCAGGCUCCCAUGUAGCAAGGGACAGCUAUGUCAUACAGUUCUGCCCGAUGAGAUAAAACCAGACAUAUUCUAGGGACCUCUGAGAAAAUUCUGCUUUCCUGAUUUCUGCUGCCCCUUCUUCCUUGAAGUUUCGUUUCACUUCUUCUAGGCUGGAACACAGAUGUGGGGCUGGAAGUGGAGCAGCCCCUUUUAGCCAUGAGGCCCAAAGCCACAUGCUAAGGAUGGUGAAGCAGGGGAUAGAAAGAGCCUGUGUCUUUGCUGACUUCCUUAAGCCACGGCACCAGCCUGGGCCUGCCCUACUCUGGACAUCUAAAUGUCAGGAGCUAAGAAUCAAGUCAGUCUAGAGGUGUUGGUUGCCAUGUGGAGAGAUCCUUCCCAAGAAGAAAGAUGCUACAAAGUGUCCUGGAAAUCCUCUUUGCCCAUCCAGAUCCACCCUCCCUAGCCUGCUCUGUACCUCAGGAAGCUGCUUUUCAGGGUUCACAUAAACCAGGCUCCUGUACCCUCCAGAUAGGUCCAUCCUAUGGGUGGUACCAGCAGGAGACCAGAGAGAUGAAGGAGGGAAAAAAAGAACAUUAGGGGUUGAAUUGUAUCACCCCAAAAUUCAUAUGGUGAAGUGUAACCCCUUCGGAAUGUAACCUUAUUGGAAACGUCAGAGGCACGUGAACCAGAGCAACUCCAUCUUGAAUAGGGGCUGGGUAAAAUGAGGCUGAAACCUAUUGGGCUGCAUUCCCAGACGGUUAAGGCAUUCCAAGUCACAGGAUGAGAUAGGAGGUUGGCACAACAUAUAGGUCAUAAAGACCUUGCUGAUGAAACAGUUGCAGUAAAGAAGCCAGCCAAAGCGCACCAAAACCAAGAUGGCGACAAGAGUGACCUCUGGGCAUCCUCACAGCUACACUCCCAGCAGCGCCAUGACAGUUUACAAAUGCCAUAGCAACAUCAGAAAGUUACCCUAUAUCAUCUAAACAGGGGAGGCAUGAAUAAGCCACCCCUUGCUUAGCAUAUACUCAAGAAAUAACCAUAAAAAUGGGCAGCCAGCAGCCCUCGGGGCUGCUCUGUUUAUGGAGUAGGCAUUCUUUUAUUCCUGUACUUUCCUAAUAAACUUGCUUUCACUUUACGGACUCGCCCUGAAUUUUUUCUUGCACAAGAUCCAAGAACUCUCUUGGGGUCUGGAUCAGGACCCCUUUCCCGUAACAUACCCUCCAGAUCAGUCCAGCUAACGAGAGACCAGCAGGAGAUCAGAGAAAUGGAGAAGGGAAAGGCAGAGUGUUAAGGGUUGAAUUGUAUCACCCCAAGAUUCAUAUGUUGAAGUAUAACUCCCAAGCCCUCAGAAUAUGACUGUAUUGGAAACGGGAUUGUCACAGAUGUAAUGAAUUAAGCCCAGCCGCUCCUGAAAGACAAAGCAG